rnacentral:rRNA from 1 species
GCAGAGCACUCCUACGGGAGGCAGCAGUGGGGAAUAUUGGACAAUGGGCGAAAGCCUGAUCCAGCCAUGCCGCGUGUGUGAAGAAGGUCUUCGGAUUGUAAAGCACUUUAAGUUGGGAGGAAGGGCAGUUACCUAAUACGUGAUUGUUUGACGUUACCGACAGAAUAAGCACCGGCUAACUCUGUGCCAGCAGCCGCGGUAAUACAGAGGGUGCAAGCGUUAAUCGGAAUUACUGGGCGUAAAGCGCGCGUAGGUGGUUAGUUAAGUUGGAUGUGAAAUCCCCGGGCUCAACCUGGGAACUGCAUUCAAAACUGACUGACUAGAGUAUGGUAGAGGGUGGUGGAAUUUCCUGUGUAGCGGUGAAAUGCGUAGAUAUAGGAAGGAACACCAGUGGCGAAGGCGACCACCUGGACUGAUACUGACACUGAGGUGCGAAAGCGUGGGGAGCAAACAGGAUUAGAUCCCCUGGUAG